rnacentral:lncRNA from 1 species
CCGUCGUUGACCUACUCAUUCUCGGUGCCCACCAUUUUGCCCAUCAUCUCCCUCUCUUCCACUACCACCUCGUCUUCUCUCUUCUCUUCUAAUCUACGAUGCUCCUCAAUACCAUUGGAUGUCUCCAACCCUUGGACCCUCGAAAUAUGCCACAUCCUUUGCCGUCCUCUUUCAGUGCCUCUCCAUCACUGCCGCCGACCUCUUCCUCCUCCUU